GAUUUCAGCUGAAAAAGUCAUCAGCAACAAAGUUGUAUAACCCAUCAAGAUUUAUAACUUCUAUUUUGGUCAUUUCUUCAUCCAACAAAGUGAUAGUAACAUUUUCACAAAAUUUACAGUUUAUAAAACUAUAUUAGAGAUAUGUACAUUUUGUGAACAAUUUUACAAAUCACUUUGUGGGAUGAAGAAAUGACCAAAAUAGAAGUUAUAUAUAUUGAUGAGUUAUACAACUUUGUUAUUAAUGACUUUUUCAGUUGAAAUC
rnacentral:pre_miRNA from 1 species